AGAGAUGUUUAUUUAUGUAAAUGGUGUGAGGCUUUACCAUGUAUAUAAUAGGCCAAUGGCUAUGCUGUGCACGCGAAACAUGUCCUGCCCCUUUAAAUCACGAAGGGAGUUACCAUGGAAACUGAAGGAGCACGAGGACAGCUAGCUCCGUCUCCCGCGGUUUCUUCGCUGUUUUCAAGAGUGACAAAAACCCUCUAUAAUAGAAGAGAAGCUCAAGAUUUCAACAUUUUCUGAAGGGAGUUGCAGACAUGUGUAGAAAACUGCUUUUCAAAUUUUCCACAUUUAUCACAGUUAUUUUAAGAUGUUGACAUCUAAACAUUGAAUGUUUUGUUUGUAGAUUUGUCCAUGCUAAUGGCCAAGCAGUAGGGUUGGAACAGACCUGUCAGAAAACAUCUCUGAACCAUAUGACUAAUUUCAAAACAAUUUAUUCUUGAGAGGAGGCACCACAGUUAAAGACAGUGUUUUGAAGAAUUUUGAACUUCCUGCUCACAAACUACAUACUUCUCCAGUUAGUCUGACAGGCUAUCAAUGAGAAUGCGGCAUUACAGGACACCACUGAAAACUAUACCACUAAAAACUGGUUAUUGCUGCAGUCAGAAGAAACAGAUUAACAGCAACUAUCUGCUUGAGACCAAGAGAUUGAGCACUGGGUUAAGACAUGGUUGCAGCUUGCCACAGACAGAGAUGAAGGUCGUUGGGCAAAAGAGAAGAUUUAAAGGCAUAGCUCACCCAAAAAUGGAAACUCAUUUACUUACCAUCAAGAUGUUUCAAACUCUAUCAAAUGUAUUUGUUCAGUUACUGACUGUUAUAAAUUAUACAGGUUUGGAACAACCUUUGGGUGAGCAAAAUUACAGUUUUAAUUUUAAUUAGUGAACUAUCCCUAUUGUGAGUUUUAUAAGUUUAUUAAGAAAUGUUGAGUAUUAUAUCAGAGUUUUGUAUGUAAGGAGAUGGUAGUUGUACGUUUGUGUGUUAAUAUAGAUGGUUUCAGUUGCAACAACAUAAAUCACUUUCAUGGCCCAAACUUAACUUCGGGUAGACCUCCACAUAGAUUCAAUAACAACCGAGUAUCUCUGGAGCAGUUUUUUUUCUGAUAACAAACAAAAUAAAUAACCAGUAAAUAGCCUUAGAUCAAAUCAUAGCUAAAGCAUUUCAACCAUUACAUUGAUCUAAUGUUACUGGGUAAAAUUAAGCUUUACAAUUUUAGCUACAGAUCUUUGAAAAUGUUUGUACGGUAUACUGUCCAUUUCCAGAAAGGUAAUAAAAACAGCGUGCACAGUGACGCUGCUGACGUGUUAUCCUCAGACAUGUUUGUGAAGAUUGUUUUGUUUAUAGCGUGCAUCUCCCUCAGACUGUAAAAAAAGCUUGGGAACAAGAAAAAGCUUGGGCAAACAAGAUAACAUGUCAGCAGCGUCACUCCAGUGUUGUGCACGAGGUUCACAACAGACCUGGAAGAGAAGACGAUGCUGAAUAAAGUCAUAAUUUCUGUUAUUUUUGGACCAAAAUUUAUUUUCGAUGCUUCAACACAUUCUAACUGACCCACUGAUAUCACAUGGACUACUUUGAUGAUGUACAGUAUAUAUUUGAUCGUGUAUACACAUAUCUAAAACAUCUUAAACUGUUUCCGAAGAUGAACGGAGGUGUUACGGGUUUGGAAUGACAUGAGGGUCAUUAAUUACAUAAUUUUCAUUUUGGAUGAAAUAACCCUUUAAGUUUGGCCAGGUGUGUAACUGUGGCAACGCACAUGCAUCUAUGGGUUCCAGUAUAUCUUACUAUAUAACAUAUUAAUUUAACUAACAUGUUUGACAAAUAUAAUUAUGUUUAUUUAUAAAUUAUUAUCUGUAUUGGAUUUUUUAAAUGUUUAAUAAAGAAAUUUUGACUAUA